ensembl:lncRNA
UGUGUACCCAGUUUGUAUAUUAUAUUUCGAUCAAGUGAAAUUCGCUUCAGGUAAAAAAAUCCGAGAUUUUAUGGUGUCGGCAGACUGAAUUGAAAGGAACUUCCUUCCAGUGAUGCAGACAGAUGAUGUUAGCGAGAAAGGGCCCGACAGGCCAGAAUGCAAUCCUUGUCGACCUAUGAGUCAGAAGUACCGAUCAUCUUCAGUAACUGCUGCCCUCCAGACCACUGCAUUUUCCCUCCCAGUUAACGUAUCUCCUCCAUAUAUCCAGACCACUGGGUCUCCACACCCAUCUCUGCCCCACCGCUUGCCCCCACUCAAGGUUUCACUGCCCACCCCGGCAUGGCCACAGACCAGCAUUCUGGCUCCCAUCUCCACCCAGAUGGACAGAGGACAGACAGGCAACUCCGACAAGAUGGGAACCUUUAGACAGGUUCUGAUUACUAAUGGAGUUCAGACAGAAGAAACCAACUGGACUGCUAACAAUGAGGUAGAGGAGAUUAUCAUCCUGCCAGAUGAGGAAAGAUUUCAGGUGAAACAAGAGAAGGAAGACUUAAAGCUAGAGGAGAUCAAAGAACAGGAGAAUGACACAGAGGAUGGGAAGACAAGCAGCGAGUGCCUCAAGACGAGGUUUAUCAGGUGGCUGAGGAGGAUGUGCUGCUGUGCCUGCUUCCCUGAAAUCUGCAGCUGAAAUCUCCUUCCCACUGCAGCCCCCAAGAGCUCACACACAUACACACCAAAGUCUAACUCAGCUAUAUAAACUGGGGGAAAUUCUG